rnacentral:rRNA from 1 species
AUGGACAACAAUGUCACAGUCACAAGUGCCAUGUUCCCAAGUCUUGGAACACAGGUAAAGGAGGUUCUGCCUGGCUGGCUGGAGAAUCUGAGGAGGAAAUGGCAACUGGAAGCAAGGAAGCCAUGGCAAGCAAGGUCACCAGGGCUGAGGAGGUGGAGGGCCCUGCUUCUGCCUCUGUUUCUCAUCUUCUUCUUCUCAGGCACGACGAGGCGCACGGAGUCGGCCCGGGAGUUCACGCUCAUCAACCAGUGCAAGACGGAGGUGUGGCCGGCGGUGACGCCGGGCGAGAGCUUCGGGGGCGGCGGGUACGCGCUCCGCGCCGGCGAGUCGGUGGUGUUCACCGCCCCCGUGGGGUGGUCGGGCCGCGUGUGGGGCCGCACCGGCUGCGACUUCAACUCGGCUGGCAACGGCACAUGCGAGACGGGCGGGUGCGGGACGUCGCUGCAGUGCGAAUCGGCGUCGGGGGCCGCUCCGGCAACGCUGGCGGAGUUCACGCUGGCGGCGACUGACUACUACGACGUGAGCCUGGUGGACGGCUUCAACCUCCCAGUGGUGGUGACCCCGACCCCGACGAGCGCGAACUGGACGGGCUGUGCGCCGGCAGGGUGCGACGGCGACCUGCGCCAUGGCUGUCCGUCGGAGCUGGCCGUGAAGGGCGACGGGGGGAAGGUGGUGGCAUGCCGGAGCGCGUGCGACGUGUUCGGGACCGACCAGUACUGCUGCCGCGGGCAGUACGCCAACCCGGUGGCCUGCCAGCCGACCUUCUACUCCAAGAAGUUCAAGGCGGCAUGCCCGGCCGCCUACAGCUACGCCUACGACGACCCCUCCUCCAUCUUCACCUGCGCCCAGUCGCCUGACUACACCAUCACCUUCUGCUCCAGCAACAUGAAGCAAUCGGUGUGCUCCUAUCGCGACAGCCGGCUCGUCUGCAGCGGCUCCGGCAGGAGCACCGCCUCUCCACUAAUGCUUGUGAUGCUGCUGCUCCUCUGCAGCUUCCUGGUACUGCGAUUUGCAUCCCCAGUGUGA